GAUGUAUCAGUUGAGGACGCCGGAUUCCCAUGCCUAAGAGGGACAUAAUUUUAUACAGGAUAUAUUCGGUCAACAACAAAAAAACAAUGUAGCAAGUAAAGUGCUAGACACAGCUUGUCUAAACUAUAAGAAACUACGACAUAUACUUUUAGAAGGGCACACCUGUGUUUAAAUGAAACUACAGAAAACAUCUUCUAGCAAAUAGUAGCUGCAAAUACAUUGCCUUAAUGUCUUUAACAUCAAAAAAAAUCCUGUAACAUGAGCGGCUAAUACACAAAAACUUGCAAGAAGUGAACAUUUCUCAUGAGAAGCUUAAAAGGUAUUAAAGCUUCUGCAUCUCUCUAACGUCAUUCCCGUUAGACACCUCAGAGAGGACGAGCUGCUGGUAAAGAGGUCUAGCAAAACGAGGUGCUCCCUCAAACCUGAGAUCAUCUGAAUCAAUUACUGGCUUGCAUUCUAAGAUGCAUUUUGCCUAAGUCUACAGCUAUAGUUAACCAAAAAAAAAAAAAAAAAGCUGAGAGAGCAGGAAAGAAAGAGUUCAUAGCCUGAGCACCACCACCUGCCAUUUCUCAUCUUAUUUGAAUUUGUGUUGAGAUCGAACGUUUCCUGACGGCGACGAGGCACGAAGCCGCGCAGUGCCGCAGCCUGCCUCCCCUCCCGGCAGCCGCAGCCCUGCGCCCGGCCGCGCUCCGACCCACCGAGACGCAUAAGUUUACGAGGAAACGGGAGUUUCCAGAGCAAGUAUAAUGAGAAACUCUUCCUUCAACCACAAAAUAAAGGAACAAUUUCUUGGAAAGCGAGUGACUACUUAUGAGCUACGCUGAGCUCACUGAAGAUGCCAUGAAGUGAAGGAAAAUUGAAAUUGUGCUGCCUGUUCAUCAUGUAUUGUGUUCUCUCCAGUCUGCAGCUAUAACAGUAUGGAUGAAUAGAAGCACCUCUGCUUCCAUGGAACAGCAAAACAGAGUAAUUUAGCCAGUAGAAAUGUCACUUCAGCACUCAAAAUUAAUUACACUGUUAAAAAAGACUUUCCAUUGUUUUUAUUCCCCUAAAAAACCCAGCAUUUUAAUGGUAAACAUUCACUGUUACACUUUCUCAUUUUAACAGUCAGAUACUUUGCCUUUCCAUAAGUCCUUGGCAUCUAUUUUAAUCAUGUGAAUAACAAAGGAGUAGCAGGAUCUUUUUCUGUAAAUUACAUAAAAUACAUUCAACUCCGAAAGGUAAAAAAAAAAUGACAAUGUCAUUUACAGACUUAAUUACUUUCUGUAAUUUUCCUUCUAUAUCUGAUUUAUUUACUCUAAAUCUAUUGUUACUGAAUUCAAAAUGAGGUUUUGAACAGAAGAAUUACUGUUAUUUAAAUAUUUUAACUUUUACAGUGGAUUCUGCUCCUGAGGUUUGGUUUCUUCCUCCUUCUUACAGCCCAUUUCUAUUAAUAGAAGUUUUUCAGAACAAAUCCUGGCUGCCAUCCCGUGUUUGCAGCUCCCAUGACUUUAAAUGACUCCAUCAGUAACGCUGGGGGUCUAAAGCAAUUCCAGUUGUUUGCAGCUGAGUUCCCAAUUAUAUUCUUGUUACUUGAGAAUGCAGUGGAUCUGCAAUAUUCUCAAUUUUGUUACUUUUCAUGGCUAACAGUUAUGAAAAGUAAUUUUUAUUUAUAUGACAAGCACAUAAAACCUCAAAGACUCAAAGUAAGUAGACUGAUUGAAUGAGAUAAUUUUUUAAAUGACCAUGUGGGUGAAUAGAAGCGGUGACAAGUAUUUCGUUGUCAUUUCAUACCUCAUCUGGCUACUUUGACAAGCUCACUUUGCAUUCAUUAAGCAAUUUCUGUUUAGCAGUAUUCGUCCUGUCAAAACAGCUUACAAAAUUUCUCAGUAGUGAGAAAAAAAGCCUUGUAGAAACAGGGAAAUAGUAUUUUCUCGUUUAUGGGAAAGAAUAAGUCUGUUUCAGUUUUACAAGCAAAAGAAAAUUUAGUUUAUUCUGUACUCUGAUUUGUUGUUCUCUACUAAGGAAAUCUAAGCAUCCUUGCUGGUGCCAAUAAUGAAUCUGAGAAGAAACAAUAUUUGUUCUGAGCAGCUGACAAAUGUAAGGAUGAUGUUAGUGUUAUCCCCACUCUCUUGAGAUAAAUUGCAGAGGUUGUGAACACGAUGGGUUAAUAUAAAGAUCCAAGGCAUGUUUUUACAUGCAUACUUUAUAAAGAAAGCAGAGACAUUACAAAAAUAUACAAAGAAUAAAAUAAUUAGAGUGUAUGACAAGACAGUUUGUUAUAGUUAACCAAAUUCUGGAAACUUGAAAUAAAGAGGAUAAAAGACAAA